AAUAGAUACCCAGGUAGUCCACGCCGUAAACGUUGGGCACUAGGUGUGGGGGGCAUUCCACGUCCUCCGCGCCGCAGCUAACGCAUUAAGUGCCCCGCCUGGGGAGUACGGCCGCAAGGCUAAAACUCAAAGGAAUUGACGGGGGCCCGCACAAGCGGCGGAGCAUGCGGAUUAAUUCGAUGCAACGCGAAGAACCUUACCAAGGCUUGACAUGGGCCGGAUCGGGCUGGAGACAGUCCUUCCCUUCGGGGCCGGUUCACAGGUGGUGCAUGGUUGUCGUCAGCUCGUGUCGUGAGAUGUUGGGUUAAGUCCCGCAACGAGCGCAACCCUCGUUCCAUGUUGCCAGCACUUCGGGUGGGGACUCAUGGGAGACUGCCGGGGUCAACUCGGAGGAAGUGGGGACGACGUCAAAUCAUCAUGCCCCUUAUGCCUUGGGCUUCACGCAUGCUACAAUGGCCGGUACAAAGGGUUGCGAUGCUGUGAGGCUGAGUCAAUCCCGAGAAAGCCGGUCUCGAGUUCGGAUUCGGGGUCUGCAACGUCCG
rnacentral:rRNA from 1 species